CGGCCACCCAGGAGCAGAUCGCGGCCGGGAACUUCCCCGAGUACCUGAUCCAGGAGGUGCCGGGACAGCUCCAGACGCGGCAGGCGGAGCCCAGCCAUGACGACAGCUACAUGGGCUACUCGGUGACAGUCGGGGAGUUCAGCGGCGACACCACGCAAGACUUCGUGGCCGGUGUCCCCAAGGGCAACCUCACCUACGGCUACGU